UACGGAGGGUGCAAGCGUUAAUCGGAAUUACUGGGCGUAAAGCGCACGCAGGCGGUUUGUUAAGUCAGAUGUUAAAGCCCAGGGCUCAACCUGGGAACUGCAUUUGAAACUGGCAAGCUAGAGUCUCGUAGAGGGUGGUAGAAUUCCAGGUGUAGCGGUGAAAUGCGUAGAGAUCUGGAGGAAUACCGGUGGCGAAGGCGGCCCCCUGGACUAAGACUGACGCUCAGGUGCGAAAGCGUGGGGAGCAAACAGG
rnacentral:rRNA from 1 species